AUUCCAGCUCCAAUAGCGUAUAUUAAAGUUGUUGCAGUUAAAAAGCUCGUAGUUGAACUUCUGUGUGUGCCCAGUUCUGGCUUCGGUCAAGCUGUGGUGCUCACAUCCGCUUGCAAACCUAGUCCGGCCUUCAUUGGUCGACUAGGGGAGUAGGCUUUUUACUUUGAAAAAAUUAGAGUGUUUCAAGCAGGCAAUGGCUCGAAUACAUUAGCAUGGAAUAAUGGAAUAGGACUUUUGUCCAUUUGGUUGGUUAUUGGACAUGAGUAAUGAUUAACAGGGACAGUUGGGGGCAUUAGUAUUUAAUUGUCAGAGGUGAAAUUCUUGGAUUUAUUAAAGACUAACUUAUGCGAAAGCAUUUGCCAAGGAUGUUUUCAUUG
rnacentral:rRNA from 1 species